rnacentral:rRNA from 1 species
UACGUAGGGGGCAAGCGUUGUCCGGAAUCAUUGGGCGUAAAGAGCGUGUAGGCGGCCCGGUAAGUCCGCUGUGAAAGUCCAGGGCUCAACCCUGGGAUGCCGGUGGAUACUGUCGGGCUCGAGUCCGGAAGAGGAGUGUGGAAUUCCUGGUGUAGCGGUGAAAUGCGGCAGAUAUCAGGAGGAACACCAAGUGGCGAAGGCGGGUCUCUGGGCCGAUGACUGACGCUGAGGAGCGAAAGCGUGGGGAGCGAACAGG